rnacentral:rRNA from 1 species
AACGCGAAGAACCUUACCUAGGCCUGACAUGUUCGUGGCACGAGCGUGGAAGCGUGAGGUUUUGCAAGAGAGCGUACACAGAUGCUGCAUGGCUGUCGUCAGCUCGUGCCGUGAGGUGUUGGGUUAAGUCCCGCAACGAGCGCAACCCUCGUUGCCAGUUACCAUGUCUGGCGGGACCGCCGGGUCCAACCCGGAGGAAGGUGGGGAUGACGUCAAGUCAGCACGGCUCUUACGUCUAGGGCUACACACACGCUACAAUGGCCGGUACAACGCGCAGCGAUGGGGCGACCCGGAGCGAAUCGCAUCAAAGCCGGUCUCAGUUGGGAUUGCAGGUUGCAACUCGCCUGCAUGAACGCGGAGUUGCUAGUAACCGCAGGUCAGCACACUGCGGUGAAUACGUUCCCGGGCCUUGUACACACCG